GUUUUAUAAGAAUUGAGGCUAAUUUCAUAAUCUUUAGCAAUGCAGAUAUGUAUCUUUAGUCUCAUGAAGAUUGUAAUUCCUUGCCAAGGUUCAUGGUGGAUUCUAUUAACAGACUGAAAAUAUUCAGCAUCUACACAAAGAGACAGAUCUGUUCGUAGACAACUAAAUCUUAUUAAGAGAAGAAAUUUGAACCCUUUAACCAGCAGUGGGCCUCUACCUACGGUCUAAUGCGACCUGGUGGCAU